rnacentral:lncRNA from 1 species
ACCACUUACUUUCCUCCAAAUCCCACUGUCCGAGAGGAAACAAUUUACUUUUCAUCGUCGAUCCCGAGCUUGUGGACACGUAGAUGAAAUCGCCAGGCUGAAGCUGUUGAAUCCGAAUAUACCUUUUCGCAUGUCCCUCUUUCUCUCUCCAUGAAUGGCUUCCUCCUUCAAGCUGUCUCUGUUCGUCGCUCAAAAACUUUUCUCUCUUUCUCAACACGUGACGCCUCAUCUUUAACUAUUCGGUUAGCCAGCUUACCAAGAAUUUUCUAGCUCUCCUUCUUCAAUAUUCAAUUGUCACGUCCCAUCUUCUGUGUUUUUCCCUUCAGUCGCCAUUUUCUAGCACACUGUAAAAGAGGACAAAAAGAAGAAGCUUACCAAGAAGGAAGCCCUAGAAGGUCGUGUUAAAAGAUAACCCAAAAGGCGUCGUUUUGAAACAAAUAAGGAUCCCAUGUUGAACGAUGCCCUUUAGCAUCAUUUGUGGCAUUGGGUUCUACUGAAACAACAUCGUUUUAAAGGAAUAGUGCUCUUGCGUUUAGGCUUACAUUCUAAAUUCAACCCAAUCCCAAACCCUUUUUCUUUUCCUCCUUUUUUCCACCUUUUUCUUUUCUUUUCUUUUCUUUUCUUGUCU